rnacentral:rRNA from 1 species
UAGUGGAGUGGUUUGUCUGGUUAUUUCCAUUAACCAGCAAGCAUCAUGCCUGCUAAAUAAGUUGGUUAAUUAAUUUCACAGAUUUAAUCAUAUUAGAGAGACAUUCAUUCUAUUAGAUGCAAGAAGAUAGCAGCAAUAUA